AGUUACCACGGCGAGCGGCUGGCUGGCUGCAGUGUUUUGGUCAGCACUGGUCAAUCUUGCCCUACACGCUCUAUUAACCAGUGUUUCCGUCUUCCCGACACCUUCUUCCUGCACCAAGCACCGUCAAGCAUCACCAGAGAGGCACGAGUACGUAAGCUAUCCAACAUCAGAACAGUAUAUGAAUAUGGCAAAUGCUGUUUUGACAUAAUUUCCUGCCAUCCUGAGAAACAGUGAUCUCGAGGAGCAUGAAUUGCAGCUGCAAUGGAAAUUGUGCAUCCAGCGCAAGUUUCAGAAUUCAAGAAAGAGGCAGGAUUCCUCAGUGACUGAGGUGACGUCAAGGAAAAAAGAAGAUCCCUUGCAUAGCGCCAAAAGAGACUACGUGUCCACUGAUGUAUGGAGUAAAGGCUUACCUUCCACCAAGGCCCCAUUCAGAAGAUGAUGAGUCAUUAGAGAGACAUAGACAGUGGCUUGCUCUACAUUGGAUGAAGAAAGAUCCCGAGUUAGAUAAGAUAAUCAAGGAGUUCCUGAGAUUAGAACCACAAGCGGAUGAACCAGACCCAAGAGUAGCAGUUUUGAAAGGGCUGGAGAAAUAUAGGCUCCCAAUAAUUGCCAUUCUCAAAAAAAGAAAAGCAGUUCCUCUGUAUAUGGAAACCAUACUUGAACUCUAUGACCACGAUGAAAGUCAAUGCGAGUACCAGAAGAAGAACUAAGAACAGGGCAGUCUAGUGUGUAUUUGAUGGUGCACCUGUAGCUGAACCAACAUGUAUUUCUAUGGCUGUAGUCUCAUUGAUAGCAGGGCUUAGUGUUUAAUAUUGAACACCCAAAAAAUUGUGAACAUUUCCUCCAUUUCACAACAUCCCAUCUCUUAGGUAUCAAGUAUGACAAAGGUAACACUUCAAAAACAAGAUCUCUACUUGUAAAACUCAAUGAAGUAAAGACAGAAUUGAGCUACAAAAAUGCAUAAAUCUGCUUCCAAAUAUAUUCAACUCCACACAUAAUGCCUCUCUCUCUCUCUCUCUCUCUCUCUCUCUCUCUCUCUCUCUCUCUCUCUCUCUCUCUCUCUCUCUCUCUCUCUCUCUCUCUCUCUCUCUCUCUCUCUCUCUCUCUCUCUCUCUCUCUCUCUCUCUCUCUCUCUCUCUCUCUCUCUCUCUCUCUCUCUCUCUCUCUCUCUGUCACACACACACACACACACACACACACACACACACACACACACACACACACAC